UACGAAGGGGGCUAGCGUUGCUCGGAAUCACUGGGCGUAAAGCGCACGUAGGCGGCUUUCUAAGUCAGGGGUGAAAUCCCGGAGCUCAACUCCAGAACUGCCUUUGAUACUGGAGAGCUUGAGUCCGGAAGAGGUGAGUGGAACUCCGAGUGUAGAGGUGAAAUUCGUAGAUAUUCGGAAGAACACCAGUGGCGAAGGCGGCUCACUGGGCCGGUACUGACGCUGAGGCGCGAAAGCGUGGGGAGCAAACGGG
rnacentral:rRNA from 1 species